GUUUAAGAGGCACUUCUCAUUAAGAUGAAAUACUUUGAUCUCAUAGGAUCAUCUGUUUUUAAAGAGGUAAUGAUAUACUACUUUUUUUUCCCCCAGUUAACCAAAUCUCAAUAGCAAAUGUCCCCUUGACCUGCCCAGCACACGCACAGGCGCGUGAGCUGCUGUGAACUGGAUGCAGCAAUCAGAGCUGAUCGGAAGGAAAAAGGGGUCAGGAGAAGAGCUCUGAGAGGGCACAGCAGGGACCAUUAAGAACUUUCCUCUAAUCCAGACAAAUGAGUUUGCCUCCCCCUGCUGUCAGGCAAUGACAACGACGUUUUGUUACUGAGCUUUCAUUUCCCUUGAUGGACUAGAGGUGCAAGUACUCAGCAGCCAUAACUUGAGAUGUAGGUUCGGGCCAACUCAGAUCUCGGGAAGGAGGGGGCAGGCAGGGGAUGAC